UUAUGUCUAUGCAAGUACUCGCCGUUAGUGUCU
rnacentral:sRNA from 1 species